UACGGAGGAUGCGAGCGUUAUCCGGAUUUAUUGGGUUUAAAGGGUGCGCAGGCGGCGUGUCAAGCAAGCGGUAAAAUAGCGGGGCUCAACCCCGUCGAGCCGUUGAAACUGGCAGACUUGAGUUGGCGAGAAGUACGCGGAAUGCGCAGUGUAGCGGUGAAAUGCUUAGAUAUCGCGCAGAACUCCGAUUGCGAAGGCAGCAUGCCGGCUCCACACUGACGCUGAGGCACGAAAGCGUGGGUAUCGAACAGG
rnacentral:rRNA from 1 species